rnacentral:rRNA from 1 species
GCUUACGGCCAUACCACCCUGAGAACGCCCGAUCUCGUCUGAUCUCGGAAGCUAAGCAGGGUCGGGCCUGUUUAGUACUUGGAUGGGAGACCGCCUGGGAAUACCAGGUGCUGUAAGCU